rnacentral:sRNA from 1 species
GCUGGGUGCGGUGGUGCAUGCCUGUAAUCCCAGCAGGUCGGGAGGCUGAGGCAGGAGGAUUGCAAGUUCAAAGCCAGCCUCAG